UGUGUGCGUGCGUGUGUGUGUGCGUGUGUGCGUGCGUGUGUGUGUGUGUGUGUGUGUGUGUGUGUGUGUGUGUGUGUGUGUGUGUGUGUGUGUGUGUGUGUGUGUGUGUGUGCAUGUGUGUACGCGUGCAGUGUUUGACACGACCGCAGCUGAGUUUGGGCUUAAAGUUAGCGCUACCAAGACACAGUUCUUGGUUGCAGGCAGGGAUGUUUCGCCUGGGCACUGCGCUCUAAUCGAGCUAGCUGGCACGGUCAUCAAGUGUGUUUCGGAGUUCCGGUAUCUUGGAUCUUUCAUCCAUCGCGGUGGCCGGUCGACACAGGACAUCACUGCUCGAAUCGUGCAUGCCUCUCGUGCUUGUGGCGCCUUGCAAGGAACCAUCUUCAGCAAUUCUGACCUUAAUUUGCAUAUCAAGAGGUGUGUGUUUAAUGCAUGUGUGUUGUCGCUCCUCCUCUAUGGGUCAGAGUGUUGGACACCAUUGCAGCACGAUCUCCAACGUUUGUCAGUCUUCCAUAUGCGGUGCAUUCGUUCCAUCUUGGGUGUGUCCCGCAGAGAUUGCUGGCAUAAUCACACGACCAACGCCCAACUGUUGGAGAUGUGGGGUGACACUGAUACCAUCUGCGUGAAGGUUGCACAGCGUCGCCUAGAGUGGCUGGGCCAUGUUGCCUGGAUGGACAGUAGCCGGAUGCCGAGACAGAUCCUGUUUGGCUCACUUCCCACACGUCGCCCAGCACAUGACCCUCGCAAGCGCUGGAAGGAUUGUGUUGUCUCCUCACCAAGGAAUGAUAUCCUAUUGCCUGUGAGUCCCGCGCUGACUGGCCGGCUAUGUACGCCGAGCCUGUGGAGAAUGUGCCUCAGCCUGGCCCCGUGGUAUGUGCGGAUUGCAAUCGGUCAUUCUCGCGCCCUGGAGAUCGUGCUCGCCACUAAUGUGUGGUUGAGCGGGCCAAGCCGAUUGCUGAGCAGUGAGGAGCUUGCCACUGUGGAGAUUGUGGGCGUUGAUUUCGAAGCAAGGGUGGUCUAGCUGUUCACCGCUGUUCCGCACCUCAGCCUCAGCCUACCGAGCCCCGGCAAGUCUAUGUACAGGAUGCCUGCUGUGCUGCGCACUGUGCUGUGUGUGCCCGCUGCUUUCGGACUGCACAAGGCCGCGGUCGUCACCGGUGCUCGAGGACUGGCCCGCGCCCGACUGCCCAGCAGCGUAAUUCGUUCAGUCAUGUAUGCGUGUGUUCUCGCCGGUUCCGUUUGCUCCACCAUCUCCGGCGUCAUCAGGCUGCGUGCUCCAUCUUCCUCUCUGAUGCCCCUCCGGUCUCACGUGACCCCUGUGGCAGUGGCUCUACAGGACAGGACAGGACGUGUGCAUACGUGUGUGUGUGUGUGUGUGUGUGUGUGUGUGUGUGUGUGUGUGUGUGUGUGUGUGUGUGUGUGUGUGUGUGUGUGUGUGUGUGUGUGUGUGUGUGUGUGUGUGUGUGUGUGUGUGUGUGUGUGUGUCUCU